UUCCUGAAUCUUGGUGCUGCUGUGCUGUCAGGAAGUACCUGCGAAGCCCACAGCGGUGGGUAACUCCCUCUCCUGCGCAAGGCUCGGCCAGAAGGCAACGUAUAGCAGUCUUCCAGUGCUGCAGUUCCUGCUGCUGAAAGCUUUUCCUGGGAUACCACUGAGCGUUGUGCCUCUUGUAACAGCAACCUGGAUAAAAAGUCAUAACCUUUGAAGAUGAGGUGAAUAUUCAGUUAACUGGAAAUAAAGCUGCCUUCCAGGAGACAGGAUUCCUGGAGAGGAAGUAUGCAAGAAGCAUCACCUGCUGUUGCUGCAGGCCCAGCACCAGGACUCCUGCCAGGACUCCUCCUGGACGCUGAAGAUUGCCGUGGUGUUGGCACGGAGAGCAGGAAGGCCAUCGUUUCUUCACACUGUCAGCAUUUCCACUGCUGACUCUGGUGGCGUGGGAAGGAG